GUGGACGGAACGCUUCUUUCAACAGCAGCAACAGUUUGUUGCUAGACAAAAUAUCCGUACCAAUAAGGCUCUUUAGACGCUUUAGUGUUUAUUAGCCACUGUGUUUUAAACCCUUGUUGUCGUCGAGUUAGUUAUUUGAUUUAAUUUAAUAUUUGCGGUGUUGUUGUUAUUGGUCAGUUAGCAUUAGCCUAGCUAGCUAACAUCCCCGACCAUGCGGUCACUAAGCUACUCUCCUCCUGCUGAAGAAGAGGAGGAUAUCACAGUAAAAGAAGAAGUAGAGGGUGAGGCCGUUUCUGUGAAAGAAGAGGAAGACGCGUUCAGAGUGAAAGAGGAGGAUGCCGUUUUUGGAGGGAAAGAGGAGGGGGAGAUGACUGUCACAUUGAAAAAGGAGGAGGAAACUGGAUAUCUGGGCCCGGUUUCCCAAAGGCAUCAAAUGGUUUUAACGGUGAACUUAGCCAUAAGAUGGUUUUGAGAAGCCGUUCCCUGGUUAACACUAGAGAGAGACGUGACUAUCGUGGAUCCUCAAGGGGAGCCUCAACAACAACAUGAUGCUGAAAAGGCAGAGAAGAGUCUCUCCAGAUCAGAACCCCUCAAGAAACACCAGCAGAAAGCCACAUGGAAAAAAUAUUAUCACUGCUGCUCUGACUGUGGUAACAAAUUCAACUAUUCAGUACAACUUAAAAUACAUCAAAGACAUCACACAAGAGAAACCAUAUGGCUGUGCUCAAUAUGGGAAAGGUUUGUUAAUAAAUCUAGCCAUCUGACUGGUCACCAGAGAACACACAGGAGAGAAACCAUAUAGCUGUGCUCAAUGUGGGAGGAGUUUCGUUUCAUCUAGCUAUCUGACAGGUCACCAGAGAACACACACACAGGAGAGAAACCAUAUAGCUGUGAUCAAUGUGGAAAGAGUUUUGCUAAAUCUAGCCACCUGACUACACCGGAGAACACACACAGGAGCGAAACCAAAUAGCUGUGAUCAAUGUGGGAAGAGUUUUACUUGGCCAAACAGCCUGAAUAUACACAGGCGGACACACACAGGGGAAGAGAUACCCUGAUUAAACAUAAAAUACAUGAAGAGUUGUUUCAUGAUAUCAAUGAAAUGUCACAAUGUAGAAUGUUUUAACAUUGUAGUAGGAGUAUUUUAAUGUCACAAUGUAGAAUGUUUUAACAUUGUAGUAGUAUUUUAAUGAUGUCACAAUGUAGAACCCUAAACGUUUGUGCCCUGUUCUAUUGAUUUCAGCCAGAUAUGGAUAUUAGCCUCAGGGGGAAAAUCCAGGCUCUGAAUUAAAAGAGUACUAUUUAUGAGAUUUAUCAAAAAGUGACUAACAAAAAAAGAGUUGUGUUACAUUUAACACGUUGGUGACCCACUUGAAUCAAAAUGCAACACUUCAAAAUGUUUAGGUUUUCAAUAUCUCCCAAACUGUUUCUACAUAUUGGGUAUUGAUUUGGACACGUUAAACCUGUUUUUUGUUUUGACAUUGACAAUCUUACAUCAAUCCAGCAUUUCUUGACAACA